AAAAAGAUGUGUUUUCUUUUUAGAUUUCGCCAUAUUUUUGAGGCUUGAGUGGGCUUGAGAGACAGAGUGGAAAAGGACCAACAGCCUGGUGAAGUCUGAGCUUCUUCGUUGCUGUCCAAUGUGCACAUGGAUUUGCUGCAACCAGCCGGGUUAAGUAGGAUCAACCCAUCAACAGCCUGGUGAAGUCUGAGCUUCAUUGUUGCAGUCCGAUGUGCACAUUGAUUUGUUUCUGCCAGCUGUUGAAUGGUGUGGCGAGCCGUUGCAUGCAGACCGUGGUGCUGGUGUGUUGAGCUGCUGCAAAUCAUGUAGAAUGUCAAUGUUGAAUAUAUCCAACGUCAACUCGG